rnacentral:rRNA from 1 species
GAUGAGCGCUGGCGGCGUGCCUAAUACAUGCAAGUCGAGCGAACAGACGAGGAGCUUGCUCCUCUGACGUUAGCGGCGGACGGGUGAGUAACACGUGGAUAACCUACCUAUAAGACUGGGAUAACUUCGGGAAACCGGAGCUAAUACCGGAUAAUAUAUUGAACCGCAUGGUUCAAUAGUGAAAGACGGUUUUGCUGUCACUUAUAGAUGGAUCCGCGCCGCAUUAGCUAGUUGGUAAGGUAACGGCUUACCAAGGCAACGAUGCGUAGCCGACCUGAGAGGGUGAUCGGCCACACUGGAACUGAGACACGGUCCAGACUCCUACGGGAGGCAGCAGUAGGGAAUCUUCCGCAAUGGGCGAAAGCUUGACGGAGCAACGCCGCAUGAGUGAUGAAGGUCUUCGGAUCGUAAAACUCUGUUAUUAGGGAAGAACAAAUGUGUAAGUAACUAUGCACGUCUUGACGGUACCUAAUCAGAAAGCCACGGCUAACUACGUG